rnacentral:lncRNA from 1 species
AUGAACUUUCCUUUCUAUUCUGUAUUGAGAUGGACAUACAAUUCUUGUGAGCUGCUGUUCUCACCAGGUUCCUGUAUAAACUGGAAGCUCCCCUCAGAGUGUGAAAUGAAAGCGUACAGUUCCUCACUUCUGAAAUGGCAGAGAAGCAGGUAUCUGCCUGGAGGAAAUUAAGGGUAAGAGAGCUAUUUUUUGCUUACCUCCUUUUAAUUGCAGUUACUAAGCUUAAAUUUUUUGCUAGCCUGCUUGAAAAUAUCUACUGCACAUUUUUCCUUAUGUGAAAAUGUGUCUAAAUGCUUCUCUCAGAUUAAGUAGAGGCCAGUAUCUUGGGAGAAUGAGGUUUUCGCAUACUAAGUUCCACCUAUGGUGAGGGAUACCUUCUCAUAAUCUCUAAAAGGGACCUCUGGAACUUCGGAAGAGAUAUCCUAAGGCCUAUUUGUGUCCUCCCAGAAUGGUUUGUCUGGCCUUCUCUCGCUGAACUUUCCCUUAGGCAUUACUUAGAAAUAGGCUGUGAGCUAGAUGGGCUGGUAGGAGAAGCUACAAAAUGCCAGCCAGCUUUCCCAGGCUUUCCUGUCCUUACUAAAAGCAAGUAUGUGUUGCACGGUACCUGUUCAGUAAAGCAAAUGCUUUAGGCCAACUCUUCCUCCAUUUUACAAUCAGCCUAGGUAAUUUUGGCUUUGUUACAGGGAAGGAACUCUAGUAUGCAGCUUUUGCCUGCCAUGGGAUGAAGGUGCGUGGCUUACUUGGCUGGAACACGUGAAUAUUGCUAAUGUAGAAUAAAUCUCUGCUUAAGACAACA